CAGCCGCCACGGUAAUACAGAGGGUGCAAGCGUUAAUCGGAAUUACUGGGCGUAAAGUGCGCGUAGGUGGUUUGUUAAGUUGGAUGUGAAAUCCCCGGGCUCAACCUGGGAACUGCAUCCAAAACUGGCAAGCUAGAGUAUGGUAGAGGGUGGUGGAAUUUCCUGUGUAGCGGUGAAAUGCGUAGAUAUAGGAAGGAACACCAGUGGCGAAGGCGACCACCUGGACUGAUACUGACACUGAGGUGCGAAAGCGUGGGGAGCAAACAGGAUUAGAUACCCGCGUAGUCCCUGUCUCUUAUAC
rnacentral:rRNA from 1 species